rnacentral:rRNA from 1 species
GUGCCAGCAGCCGCGGUAAUACGUAGGUGGCAAGCGUUGUCCGGAAUUAUUGGGCGUAAAGCGCGCGCAGGCGGUUUCUUAAGUCUGAUGUGAAAUCUUGCGGCUCAACCGCAAGCGGCCAUUGGAAACUGGGAGACUUGAGUGCAGAAGAGGAGAGUGGAAUUCCACGUGUAGCGGUGAAAUGCGUAGAGAUGUGGAGGAACACCAGUGGCGAAGGCGACUCUCUGGUCUGUAACUGACGCUGAGGCGCGAAAGCGUGGGGAGCGAACAGGAUUAGAUACCCUGGUAGUCCACGCCGUAAACGAUGAGUGCUAAGUGUUAGAGGGUUUCCGCCCUUUAGUGCUGCAGCUAACGCAUUAAGCACUCCGCCUGGGGAGUACGGCCGCAAGGCUGAAACUCAAAGGAAUUGACGG